rnacentral:lncRNA from 1 species
UCAGAAUUAAACCAACAGCUAGGCAGGCAGAGUCUCUAGACUGCCUUUUGAUAUGAUUAGGAACUUGCCGUUUUCCUCAGUGUUUAUCUUUGGACUUGAUGGCAGCAGAAAUGCCAACUGAACAUGCGUCAUCACAGUGGUCCCUCUUUUGUUGGAAUUGCGUUGCUUCCAGAAGGGAGGGGAAGCCUGAGAAAGUUACAGACGAUGAUGCGAUGAUGCGUAAUGAACACAUAUACAACGGACACCAGGGGUCUGGGCCUCCGUAUAGAACUGUUAACGUUAUGCCUCCUACCUUUCCAAGUGAAUCAAUACAAGAUCAGCUUUAUGCAAACAUACCUGGAAAGCCUUAUUUUUACUAAAAUGAAUUAACAUGACAUUAACAAAUAAGUCACUUUUAAGUUGCCGUGUCAAAAUAUAGGACCUUGGACAUCAGAGGGCCACUUCAUUGUCUUUAUUUAUGGUCACAGCAUUUGCAUUCCCGUCUCCCUCGUGCUGUUUUUAUUUUUGUCACUGGAGUCCAUGAAGACUUAAUCAUCAGCCCUCUAAUUUUCCAAAAGAAAAAAAAAAAAUGUUGAUUUAUCGAAAUGGCUGCAGAAAAAGAAGAAGAAGAAGAUCAAUCUGACAUUGUAGGUUAAUAGUAGGGAACAAAACACAUUCAUAAUUAGAAGAGAAAAGGACCUUCCUUGUUCAUUCCAGUUUAUAAUAAAAAGCGCCUCGCCAAAGUGUCUUAGAAAAUAAUGCAUUCAGACUGAGUCGAAUUACCGCCUAGCAGAUUCUAUUUAUCUGUAGCUUAAAAAGCAGCUGCGUUUUUGUAAAAAAGCAAUGAAUGUGGCAGUCCUACUUAAAGGUAGAAGAAAAAGAACACCCCUUGUUUUGUAAUAAGGGGAUUUUCCAUUUAAAAGAGAGAGCGAGCCUGUUGUGUGAAGUCCGAUUAUUACAUUCACUGUAUUCUAUCUCACCCACCAGGAGGCUAAUAAUGGAGGGGCCAGAGAAGGAGGCCAGUGCUCCGAGGGUUAUCUCACAGCCUCAGAUGCUGGAUAAGCCGAAGGAGGCAGAAUCGCUUCUGGAUGACAUUCAGAAAGGCCGGAGUGAUUAUUGGAAGAGAAAAGCCUGCCUAUUCUUUUCCAAGGUGCCUGACUAUUCCCCGGGCCCGCCCGUCCGGCCACUGAUGAAUGAUUAGCCACCUGCCUCAGACAAAGGAUGCCCUGGGAGCCUCCCCACACCUACGGCCGCUUUGAAGGCUCUGCCAAGCUCACUUUUAAUCACGAGAAAGGAAUUACCCACAUGGAGUCAGCAGAAAAUGAGAAAGUAGAGCUCGUGCUGCGAAUCAUUCCAGCAAGUGCCAAGGGGCUAGUUGAGGAAUGGCUUCAACGAGACCAUGCUCUAGGGGAACUAUUUAUAGCCCACCCAUCGAGGAGGCCCACGUUUUAGUCCCGCCAGGCCUCCUUUCUCCCGUGUGGUCUUUCUUCUGAAACAAAGAAGAAAUAGUCAAAUCAGACUUACCCUCUUGGAAAUGUGGUCCAGAUUGCUCUACUCCCAAGCUCCAAAAAAGGUAUCCUUGAGUGGGCUCGAGCCACACCUCCUCGGAGCCGUGAAGCCACGGAGGUGUUUUCCACGUUGCAGGUGGGGCAGAGAAAAAUCCCAUCUCGGAGCAGAGGGGGGGCUUUGGAACAGAGAUGGUUACUCAUCUCUCUGCCGCUCCAACUUCGAGACCAGGGGCAAGUCAUUUAGACGCUGUGAGCCUCUUUAUCUUCAAAAUGGGGAGAAGUAAUGCGCCCUAAGGGAAGAUUGUAAGAAUUAAGUGAAAUAAUGCAUAUCCAUGCCUAACAAAGCGCUUAGCAUGUUAAAAAAAUAGUUCAUGAAAUAUUACUUAUUCCCCCUUCCUCUCUCUCUUCCCUGUCUCUUCCUUUUUCUCCCCCUCUCCCUUCAGAUGUUAGUCUAAAACCAGCCCCUUCAAGAGAGAAAAUACUAGAAAAUGCCUAAUAAAAUACAAGCAAGCAACUAAAAAAAAAAUGCCUAGUUGCCUCCUUUCCAUAUGUGGCUGACAUCCGUCAGUUGGAUCAAUAGUUUAAUUCUUUUCCCUUGAACUGUUUUAAUGAUGAUUGACCUAUUUUCACUUCUGCUGUUUUCUGUAUGUUUAUUUUUGCUUGACUGUUUUAAUAUUGACUAUUGAUCUCUACUCAUUUUUACUGGUUUUCUGUAAUUUUUUUUUCAAUGAGAAUUCCAAUAAAACUUACUCUGUU